rnacentral:misc_RNA from 1 species
GAUGAAGACGUAGCGAAAUGCGAUAAGUAGUGUGAAUUGCAGAAUUCAGUGAAUCAUCGAAUCUUUGAACGCACAUUGCGCCCCUUGGUAUUCCAUGGGGCAUGCCUGUUCGAGCGUCAUCUACAACCCUCAAGCCCUGCUUGGUGUUGGGCGUCUGUCCCGCCCCCGCGCGCGGACUCGCCCCAAAUCCAUUGGCGGCGGCCCUUGCCUCCCUCUCGCGCAGCACAUUGCGCUUCUCGAGGCGUCGCGGGCCGCGCUCCACGAAGCACGCAAACCAGUCUUUGACCUCGGAUCAGGUAGGGAUACCCGCUGAACUUAAGCAUAUCAAUAAGCGGAGGA